UGGCAAUGCCUAUUUAUUAAUAAUUUUUCAUAAAAAAUUUUCUGAUUGACUAGCAAGUACUCCCAUAAUUGUGAUUGGGCACCCUUGUUGUAAUGGACAAUUAGAUCAGCCAUCCCUCAAGAAUAGGUUAUGGCCUUGCAUAUUGCAGUCUCAUCAAACAAAGCCUACCACCUGACAAUCACUCCCAAGCUGACAAAGACCACCAUAAAAAGAAAAGGAAAAUGUAACUCGCC